rnacentral:rRNA from 1 species
AGAUUGAACGCUGGCGGCAUGCUUUACACAUGCAAGUCGAACGGUAACAGGCCGCAAGGUGCUGACGAGUGGCGAACGGGUGAGUAAUGCAUCGGAACGUGCCCAGUCGUGGGGGAUAACGCAGCGAAAGCUGUGCUAAUACCGCAUACGAUCUAUGGAUGAAAGCGGGGGACCGAAAGGCCUCGCGCGAUUGGAGCGGCCGGAUGUCAGAUUAGCUAGUUGGUGGGGUAAAGCCC